AGAAGAAGAAAAGAAGUAGAAGUGCGGAUUGUGUCGGUUUUCUCUGAUGGAUAUUUGUCGAGUUUGAUUCCAGUUUCCUGCGGCCAGAAACGGCUUAUUUGGUUUAGUUUAAUUUAGUCGAGCUGCUCAUUAGAGAAAGAAGUUUAGUUGGUCAGCUCUGCGGGUUUUGUUCAGAAGGGAAGUGAGCGCUUUAGCACAGAGCUGUUAUGCUGCGUUCAUGUGCUAUGGGAAUUAUGGUAAAUACCAAACGCCUACAUGGAAAGCACACAUGAACGCCCCCUCUUGUGGUAUUUUCCACUGGGCAACUCGUAGAAAAUUUUGAUACACGAGUUGCCGAGAUGAGAUGAACUUUAACCUUUUCAACAUGGCGGCGAGCGGUACAAGACACUUGAAUGAGCAGACACUAUUGCUAACGAUAGCAGCUGGUCCACCAUCUUUAAAAUUUGUCAACAACAACAAAAGCAUGUGAACACAACGCACUGGUAAAUACCACUUCCCAACUGGAAAAUAUCAUCUUCCCAUAGCACAUGAAGGCAGCAUAUGUAAAGCUGCUGCUACAGAGAUGAAAGUGCGGCGCUGAAUCACAGUGUGCACUCAGACCCUCAGAAAUCCGCCAUGGCGUGCGGGCGGACUGCAGCUUUUCUGUGGCUCGAAAUCCACAACUUAAAUGCUGACUCAUUCCGGAAGUGGUGUAAAAGCUCAACUUUACCAAAGCCAGUGCUGUGAUGAAGUGAAAGCAGCAGCAGUUCAGUGGUGUGGCUGGACAACUGCUCAGAAGGUGACUACUGACUGUGGUGUCUCGUUUGUCUUGUCUGCUUUUUGGCCAAAGAUUGUGGGAACCACAUCUGGAUUCAGCGCUGGCUUGUACGGUAUUCCUAAUGCCAGUGCAUCUGAGUUGUUUGCGUGAAAGUUUUCUUCAAAAUGUUCCGAGCACACGAGCUGCGAAUGUACUGUUUUUGCACCCGAAGGACCAUUCCAGUCAGCCCGUGAGAGGUCUGUCCCUGUUCGGCAAAUGGCAUUUAUCCAUUACCUCCUUACGUUUUUGUCCUUUGGAAAUUGAUGCAGGUUAGUUUUUUCACUUCUGUCAUUGUUGCAUCCUCCUGUAACGUUCACAUGAAUCCUGGAAAGUAAAGCGGUGUUUGUUUACCCUCUUUCUGCAUUGCUGCGGGGGUUGGACUGUCUACUACGGUAAUUACGGUAGGCUAGCCUGGUGACGUCUUGAAGUUUUUUAUGAAUGAGUCGAGAGCAUGCUAAGCGUGCUAACAAGUGCUUAUGCUGCCAGGAACGUAGAAAAACUUGCGCACUUGCCUCUGUAACAUAUUUGGGUAAGUUAGAUUGUAUGCAGAUCUGUUUGUAGGUUGUCUAGCAAGGUUACAGUCUGCAGAAUUAGACCGUCAUGGCAGCACCACUUGUACCGGGGGUAUAAGUAUAAAAAGUUGCCUCCCCCCAUUCAGUCAUGUAGGAGUACAUCAGCUGUUCACUCUUCCCUCGCUGUUUAUCAGUGACAUCAGUAUCUUUCCCCCCUCAACUUUUGUGUGAGAGAAAUGGAAUUUCAAUUUUUUUUUUUCAUAUAAACUUUUAAUGAAAUAAUCUCCAGCCAGGGGCAGCUUCAAGUCUUAUUCGCUAUGCGGCGCUUCCGUGUCUUGAACCCAAAUGACAUCGGCGCAUUGCCGGAAACAAUCGGGGGGGAUUUUUCUGAUUGGUUAAAAUAUUUUCAAUGGUGGCAUCCAUGAAAUUGUCCAUGGUGGGGGAAUUCUGCAUAGAAACUGACUUUCGGAGAUGGAUAUCUUAGUUGUGUGAGCUCCUUAUUUUCAAUUAUUCGCAUGAAUCGUUAGACUAUGAUACAAAUUAUCUUCAUAACUGUAUUUUAACCAUGGGCUUUCUUUUCUUUUAAUUCUGGUGGUUUUGAAAAUAACCCACAGCUGAUCGUCUUUGUGUUUUUUGUGCAGCUUUAUUGUCCAGACUCUGUGCUGCAGCAGUACGUGACUGUGGAUUAUCCAGCUGUGCAAGCGUGCCAUCCACUUCACCAUUGUUGCUCCAGCAGCUAACGUCGUCUUAAAGCUGUUUAGAUCCCUUGUUGCUAUGUUUUUGGUGCUACGUUCCUGUUUUCUGGUUACAAUGCCUGACUGUUCAGACGGAUAGUGAUAUGGUCAGCUCUGGGAUGGAUUUGAGGGGGGGUUUUUUGUUUUGUUUUUUUUCUGUGUAGCAUGAAAAGUUUAUGUAUUAAUCCUCACCCCACUGAACUGCUCAUCUCUGGAGUCACCAUAACAAAAUGAGCAGCUGUUUGCAUAAGCCUGUGUUUAAAAUCUCUCAAUUCCCAUUACCUGAUGUAAAGAAUUAGGUUUGUCAGAAGCAGCAGCUUGCAUUAUGGCUUACAUGGUAAGUUUUUGGUUUAAAUAUAGUGGCAGAAAAAUGCUGAAUUUUUUCCCCCCUUUCUUUCUCCUCCCCCCUUCAUUUGAUAUUAAGGCUAGUUUGAAAGUGAUUGUAAUUCUGCAUUAUUUGUAAUGGAUUACUACUGAAUAAAAUAUUUCA